rnacentral:rRNA from 2 species
GAGGACCGAACCGACUAAUGUUGAAAAAUUAGCGGAUGACCUGUGGCUGGGGGUGAAAGGCCAAUCAAACCGGGAGAUAGCUGGUUCUCCCCGAAAGCUAUUUAGGUAGCGCCUCGUGAAUUCAUCUCCGGGGGUAGAGCACUGUUUCGGCUAGGGGGCCAUCCCGGCUUACCAACCCGAUGCAAACUGCGAAUACCGGAGAAUGUUAUCACGGGAGACACACGGCGGGUGCUAACGUCCGUCGUGAAGAGGGAAACAACCCAGACCGCCAGCUAAGGUCCCAAAGUCAUGGUUAAGUGGGAAACGAUGUGGGAAGGCCCAGACAGCCAGGAUGUUGGCUUAGAAGCAGCCAUCAUUUAAAGAAAGCGUAAUAGCUCACUGGUCGAGUCGGCCUGCGCGGAAGAUGUAACGGGGCUAAACCAU